rnacentral:lncRNA from 1 species
GUAAUGUGGGCUUGUCACCAAGUGGAGCAUUAAGGUAUGAUGAAGCACUUAAUCUGCUACCAGGGCUCACGGUGGUUUGAGGUUGAUGCCGGAGGCUUUGGAGUCCACGACGCACGCUCUACGUCAAAUAUCUGUUAGUGGAAACUAGGCGAUUCUAAUGAGACUCGCCGAGUUUCGUAGUGAUGCUCUGGUGUGAGAGAGGAACUCGAAUCGUGCCUUUGAGUGUCCCCUUGAGACCCUUUUUAUAGGAUCUCGGAGGGUACAAUCAAAGGCGGACAUCGCGCCUAUGGUCAUAUAUGGUAACAUUUAUGACGUUGGCUGGCGGCGAAUAACGGUUGUAAGUCGCCGAUUCAGGUAUGGAAGUCGCCUAGUUGGGGCUAACUCGGCGAGUUUCUAGGGCCAAGGUGUACAGUCUACCAUACUGCCGAUCUUGCCUUAACUCGGCGAGUUAUCCUGUAUGUCGGCGACUUGGUAGUCCAAUCGGGCGACUUACGGGCUAACUCGGCGAUCUGGACGAUGAACGUGUUCCGCACCGUGGGAGCUCUCCGGGGGUCCUGCCAUAGCGACGGAGCCCUAGUCCUUUUUGAAAGACGUUGCUGGGAGUGACUGACGUAAUCAGGCAUGUCUCUCCAGUACUCCCCCCUAAAGAGAGCACAAGAAACAUGCGUGUAUCGCCAAUACUCCCCCCCCCAACCAAGGUUCAAUGUGUGUGAUCCAGCACCAAGGCCAAAGCGACAAGAUGAGAUCGAAUCAUC